AACGAACGCUGGCGGCGUGCCUAACACAUGCAAGUCGAACGGAAUGAGGGGCUUGCUCCUCAUUUAGUGGCGCACGGGUGAGUAACGCGUAGAUAAUCUGCCUGAUGAUCUGGGAUAACACUUCGAAAGAGGUGCUAAUACAUGAUCAGCCCACGAUGACCUUGGUUAUUGCGGGAAAAGGGGGGGACCUUUUGGCCUUCUGUCAUCAGAUGAGUCUGCGUACCAUUAGCUAGUUGGUAGGGUAAAGGCCGACCAAGGCGACGAUGGUUAGCUGGUCUGAGAAGGUGAUCAGCCACACUGGAACUGAGACGCGGUACAGACUCCUACGGGAGGCAGCAGUGGGGAAUUUUGCGCAAUGGGCGAAAGCCUGACGCAGCAACGCCGCGUGAGUGAUGAAGGCUUGCGGGUCGUAAAGCUCUGUCAAUGGGAAAGAAGUGUAUUGUGGCUAAUAUCCAUGAUACUUGACGGUACCCAUAAAGGAAGCACCGGCUAACUCCGUGCCAGCAGCCGCCGUAA
rnacentral:rRNA from 1 species